rnacentral:lncRNA from 1 species
AAUGUGUGUAUGUAAAUAUGUAUCUACUUUUUUGUUUUUUCUUUUAUAUAUGUAUCUAUUUGUUUCUGUCUUAAUACUGAAGAAAAGUGUGACGGACAGAUAGGCAGAUGGACGCAGCUCUUAUAGUAUGGAUUCGUACAUACACGCACACAUGAAUACGUACACACAUAUAUGCACACACAUACAUAUGUAUAUAUACACAUGCAUCCACCGAAACACAACCGAGAUAUUAACAUCCAUGAGUGGACGGAUGCGGUGGUGACGUUACAGAUGACAUCAUCAGUGAGAGAGAGAGAGAGAGAAAUGUAGAAGAGGAGGGGAGAUGUGGUAGAGAAAUAUAUUAUUCACACCAUUGUGUGAGAAUAAUGGCUCACUUACUCAUACAUACACACUAAAUAAACUCACAGAUAUUUACGCAAGGCAAUACACACCUACACACGCAUAGACACCACAACACAAUUACAUACAAAGUUUCAUACACACACAUACUCGUCAAGUUAACACCCACUUAUAUCUAUAAACUUUUUCCUAGAAUUUGAUAACCACCGCACUCACAGAUCAUUUUAAAGUCACAAUUUUCCUGCUGUUCCAACGAGCUGGACUUGAAUUUCUGAGAAGCAAUUCAGGCUGAAAUUAAAGUCGAAUCACAAGACACAGACAUGGACAUUAAAGGAAUCAUAGAAAAAAUUGAAGCCUGUGACAUGGAAGGUGCGAAAAACAUGAUAGAACAACAUUCAGAAAGCAUUAACGAAAUACAUUCAAAUGAUAGAAGUUACCUGAUGCUUGCUUCUGAACUGGGCAACAUUGAUUUGAUAAAAUUAUUAGUUGAUGCUGGAGCUGAUUUGAACAUGUGUAACAAAAGCAAGUGUACAGCUUUACAUUAUGCUGU